UACGUAGGGUCCGAGCGUUGUCCGGAAUUACUGGGCGUAAAGAGCUCGUAGGUGGUUUGUCGCGUUGUUCGUGAAAACUCACAGCUCAACUGUGGGCGUGCGGGCGAUACGGGCAGACUGGAGUACUGCAAGGGAGACUGGAAUUCCUGGUGUAGCGGUGGAAUGCGCAGAUAUCAGGAGGAACACCGGUGGCGAAGGCGGGUCUCUGGGCAGUAACUGACGCUGAGGAGCGAAAGCGUGGGGAGCGAACAGG
rnacentral:rRNA from 1 species